rnacentral:lncRNA from 1 species
AAAUUUUGUGUCCUACGUGGCGUCCUACAUGCACUAUGCCAUGUAGGACGAAUGUAUCUAUUUGUUCAGUUUUAUAGUGUCUACUUGUGCAUACCAAAGUUGGAGGGUAUAAAUGUCAAAUGAAGUCGAGUUAAAUAGUGUAUUUAUGUGUUAUGCCUUUAUGUAUCAUGCCAUGCCAUAUAUAAAUGUGUCAUUUACUUUGGCUUCUACCGACAUCUAUGCACUCCAAUUUUGGUCGUGCAUGGAAUAAUACACGAAGGAAACAGAUUAACAUGUAGGAUCUCAUGUAAAACACAUGUGUCUAUUUAUUCAACUUUAUACAAGUAAAAGUUCCUACUUAUGCACGCC